rnacentral:rRNA from 1 species
AUGAACAGGUGGAGCUGCCAUCACAAUGAAAACCAUGGUGCUGUUGUGGACGUGGUGGUGACAGGUUGGAAUCUCAGUAACGCUGAAGGAAAGAGAAGACCGCCAGGAGAGGUGACUUUCUUUAUACACCCCCACAAGACCCAGUAUGGAUUCGUGGAGGAGCAGCCAAGAAGCUCGCAGGUAUCAAUUCUUAUUUCUGAUGGCACGGCUGCCAUUGCCAACUUGUUCUUGAGAGUGAACACGGACUGUUGGCAGCCGCGCAAUAGUCAUGGUGUUGGGAUGUUUAUAAGGACCUUGAAGUAUGCUGAAUGUUUGGUUCUUUCAUAUGCCGAUGAGUUGUAA